AAGAUGUCCCAGGUAGAAUGCCCAGUAUCAGUAAUACUUUUUUUUUGCUUGGUGUCUAUCUUUGCAGGUGAAAGAAGAGACCUGACCAGAAGAGUCCAGCUUUCUCAGUUUUGCCAAAGAUAUCUCAGAUUAAAGCAUUGACGUUGCACAUGUCUCUUGAGCAUGAAAGAUUGUUGAGAGAAGUCUGACUUGUGGGGUAACUUUUCACCAUGCAGGAGACUAAAAAUGGUCUGGCUGAUCUACAGCUCACACAUGUUGGUAAUUAAAGCAUCACUUAUUUGAUGCACCUGGCUGAACUCUUGAGUGGAACACAGAAAGUGGAAAGUUACUCUGUCUGCAUGGUAUUUUACUCCAAAAGAGAAGUAGCAAAAAUGGGAAUGAAUUUCAAAGACAAACAUUUGAGGAAUUAUGGAGACCCUGAGCAAAAAGAGAGAAGAAGCUUAUACUGACAAGGAGACAGUGUUAUGGGGGUGGAAAAUACACAGGAUCCAAUCAGUGAAUCAGGAGGUGGGAGGAACAGCUGCUUCUUAAGUAACGACAUGUAAGUAAUAUUAGUCCCAUUGGCUUAAUUACAUUGUAACCUUAAACAACAAACAUCUGUUUUCCAUG
rnacentral:lncRNA from 1 species